rnacentral:tmRNA from 1 species
GGGGGCGUACUGGUUUCGACGGGGGCAGUGAGGCCGGAAUAGCGGGCCGUGGCGCCUGACCACGAUAAAACGGGCAACUUUUAAAAUUAACUGACAACGAAAACGUUGCUCUGGCAGCCUAAUUAGGCCGCCCAUCCGCCCCGGAAGGACCACGAGCCGGGUUCGGGUGUGAUGAUAGUGGUGACCGUGCGUACGGUAAGCUUUGCCCGUACCAUGCAUCAUGAAGCUACCAAUUCCCGUAGGGUGUUUGUUCCCGCCGGGUUGAGGGAAGGUAAAUAACAAACUGCGCCCGGAGAAGUUCCCGUCAAGCUGCUUUCGGACGGGGGUUCGAUUCCCCCCGCCUCCACCA